AGUGGCGGACGGGUGAGUAACACGUUGGAACCUGCCCCGAAGAGGGGGAUAACCAUCCGAAAGGGUGGCUAAUACCCCAUAUACUCCGAUUUAUUCGGAGGAAAGCUUUCGCGCUUCGGGAGGGGCCUGCGUAACAUUAGCUUGUUGGUGAGGUAAAAGCUCACCAAGGCUACGAUGUUUAGCUGGUUUGAGAGGAUGAUCAGCCACACUGGGACUGAGAUACGGCCCAGACUCCUACGGGAGGCAGCAGUGAGGAAUAUUCCACAAUGGGGGAAACCCUGAUGGAGCGAUGCCGCGUGCAGGAAGACGCUUUUCGGAGUGUAAACUGCUUUUAACAGGGAAGAUUAUGACGGUACCUGUAGAAUAAGGACCGGCUAACUACGUGCCAGCAGCCGCGGUAAUACGUAGGGUCCAAGCGUUAUUCGGAAUUACUGGGCGUAAAGCGUUCGUAGGCGGUUUUGUAAGUUGGAUGUGAAAUCCUGUGGCUCAACCACAUG
rnacentral:rRNA from 1 species